ACAAAACUCAAAUUGAGUUUUCAAAUGUGAAUAAAGAAAAUCAAUAAGAGACUCUCCCUUUUAAAACUCCAAAAAAUAUUUCUCUUUUUUGGAAAAUAAGGCAAAGACGGAGUGAAAAUUGCGAAAACGAAAAGAAAACGCGUCUUUUGUGAUGAAAGUUAAUAUCAAUACAUAAUAAACGAGUUUGUUAUAAUUUGAAGAUAGAUUUCAAAAAUUCAUAUUGGAUAUUAAAGGACUAAUAACAAAUAAAAGAAAAACAUAAGACAAGCACAGAUUUACAGAUCGAAUAAUAUUCGUUCAAGUCAUUCUCUAGAGAACUAUAAUCUUGAAAUUUAUUUUUAUACAGAAAUUUAUCAAUAUAGAAAUAUAUAAAAUUACAAUUAAAGAACUUGAUGCAAUCUAUCUUUAACUAUGAGUUCCUUUCUAAAGCAAAAUCAAGUUGAAAUACAAUAUUGAUUGUAAUGUGAGUAUUAAAAGAGAACCAUAUAAAUAUCUGCUCGUAAAAAGAUCCAUUCCAAAAA